GCGUUGUUCGGAGUUACUGGGCGUAAAGGGUGUGUAGGCGGCCUUCUAAGUUUGGUGUGAAAUCUCCCGGCUCAACCGGGAGGGUGCGCCGAAGACUGGGGGGCUAGAGUACGGGAUGGGAGAGUAGAAUUCCUGGUGUAGCGGUGAAAUGCGUAGAUAUCAGGAGGAAUACCGGUGGUGUAGACGGCUCUCUGGACCGUAACUGACGCUGAGACACGAAAGCGUG
rnacentral:rRNA from 1 species